GACGACGCUGGCGGCGUGGAUUAGGCAUGCAAGUCGAACGGUAUCAUCCUUUCGGGGGUGAGAGAGUGGCGAACUGGUGAGUAACACGUAGGUUAUCUACCCUCAAGACGGGGACAACCCGGGAAACUUGGGCUAAUACCGGAUGUGAGCAACUUUUAGUGUUUGAAAGGUGGCGUAAGCUGUCGCUUGGGGAUGAGCCUGCGUCCUAUUAGUUAGUUGGUGAGGUAACGGCUCACCUAGGCAAUGAUAGGUAGGCGGCCUUAACGGGUGGUCGCCCACACUGGGAUUGAGAUACGGCCCAGACUCCUACGGGAGGCAGCAGUCGAGAAUAGUCUACAAUGGUCGGAAGACUGAUAGUGCGACGCCGCGUGAACGAUGAAUCCCUUCGGGGUGUAAAGUUCUUUUAUAUGUGAGCAGUGCUUCUUAUAUUAACAGUAUGGGGAGAGAGAUAUUAGCAUAUGAAUAAGCAACGGCUAACUCCGUG
rnacentral:rRNA from 1 species